rnacentral:rRNA from 1 species
UUAAAGGGCUGCAGUAUAUUGACUGUACAAAGGUAGCAUAAUCAUUAGUCAUUUAAUUGAUGACUUGUAUGAAGGAUUGGAUGAAAUAUAAACUGUCUCUUAAUUAUAUUUAGAAUUUAAUUUUUUAAUUAAAAAGUUAAAAUAAAUUAGAAAGACGAGAAGACCCUAUAGAGUUUUAUAGAUAAAAUUAAUUGAGAUUAUUUGUAAAUAUUAAAUUAAGAUUAAUUUAUUUAUUUUGUUGGGGUGACAGAAAAAUAUGAAAAACUUUUUAUAUGUUUAAAACAUUAAUAAGUGGUUAAAUGAUCCAGUAUUAUUGAUUAUAAGAAAAAAUUACCUUAGGGAUAACAGCGUAAUUUUUUUUUUUAGUUCACAUAAAAAAAAAAGUUUGCGACCUCGAUGUUGGAUUAAGAUAAAAUUUAAAUGCAGAAG